AGAUUGAUUAGUUAAUUAGCUUAAGAAAAGCUUGUACUUUGAAAGUACAAUAAGAAGGUUAAAUUCCUUCAUUAACUU
rnacentral:tRNA from 1 species